rnacentral:tRNA from 1 species
GGCUUCAUAGCUCAGCUGGUAGAGAGUGUACCGUACAAGGCUAGUAGGCGGCGUUCAUGCGUGAGUUCGAAUCCCACCGAAGCUA